CAAUAGCGUAUAUUAAAGUUGUUGCAGUUAAAAAGCUCGUAGUUGGAUUUGUGGCGUACGGUGUGUUCCGGGCACUUGUUGUCUGAGUAACCUGCUGUUGCCAUCCUUGGGUGGAACCUGUGUGGCAUUAGGUUGUCGUGCAGGGGAUGCCCAUCAUUUACUGUGAAAAAAUUAGAGUGUUCAAAGCAGGCUUAUGCCGUUGAAUAUAUUAGCAUGGAAUAAUGAGAUAGGACUUUUUUGCUAUUUUGUUUGUUUGCGCAAAGAGGUAAUGAUUAAUAGGGACAGUUGGGGGUAUUCGUAUUCCAUUGUCAGAGGUGAAAUUCUUGGAUUUUUGGAAGACGAACUACUGCGAAAGCAUUUACCAAGGAUGUUUUCAUUAA
rnacentral:rRNA from 1 species